rnacentral:rRNA from 1 species
UACGUAGGGGGCUAGCGUUGUCCGGAUUUAUUGGGCGUAAAGAGCGCGUAGGCGGCCGAGUAAGUCCGACGUGAAAUCUGGAGGCUCAACCUCCAGCGGUCGUUGGAAACUACUCGGCUAGAGACCGGAAGAGGCGAGUGGAAUUCCCGGUGUAGCGGUGAAAUGCGCAGAUAUCGGGAGGAACACCUAUGGCGAAGGCAGCUCGCUGGGACGUUACUGACGCUGAGACGCGAAAGCGUGGGGAGCAAACAGG